rnacentral:rRNA from 1 species
CCCAAGUCAUGGCAGU